GUUGAGAUAGCCAAGCCAGGUAUGGCGCAGGGUUGCUAACCCUGUGUCCCUUGGGACUCGGGGGUUCAAAUCCCUCUCUCAACGC
rnacentral:tRNA from 1 species